GAUGAACGCUAGCUACAGGCUUAACACAUGCAAGUCGAGGGGAAACGAUAGAGAAAGCUUGCUUUUUCUAGGCGUCGACCGGCGCACGGGUGAGUAACGCGUAUCCAACCUGCCCACCACUUGGGGAUAACCUUGCGAAAGUAAGACUAAUACCCAAUGAUAUCUCUAGAAGACAUCUGAAAGGGAUUAAAGAUUUAUCGGUGAUGGAUGGGGAUGCGUCUGAUUAGCUUGUUGGCGGGGUAACGGCCCACCAAGGCUACGAUCAGUAGGGGUUCUGAGAGGAAGGUCCCCCACAUUGGAACUGAGACACGGUCCAAACUCCUACGGGAGGCAGCAGUGAGGAAUAUUGGUCAAUGGACGAGAGUCUGAACCAGCCAAGUAGCGUGCAGGAUGACGGCCCUAUGGGUUGUAAACUGCUUUUAUAAGGGAACAAAGUGAGUCUCGUGAGACUUUUUGCAUGUACCUUAUGAAUAAGGACCGGCUAAUUCCGUGCCAGCCGCCGCAGUAA
rnacentral:rRNA from 1 species